GACGAACGCUGGCGGCGUGCUUAACACAUGCAAGUCGAACGGAAAGGCCCUGCUUUUGUGGGGUGCUCGAGUGCCGAAGGCGGGCGUAUCACGUGUGUAUCCUGCCCUUGACUUUCGGAUAACUUCAGGAAACUGGGGCUAAUACCGGAUAGGAGCUCAUGCAGCAUGGUGGGGGUUGGAAAGUUUCGGCGGUUGGGGAUGGACUCGCGGCUUAUCAGCUUGUUAGUGGGGUAGUGGCUUACCCAGGCUUUGACGGGUAGCCGGCCUGAGAGGGUGACCGGGGACAAGGGGCCUAAGAUACGGACCAGACGCGAACGGGAGGCAGCAGUCGCAAGUAUUGCACAGUGGGCGGAAGUCUGAGACAACGACGUCGGGGUCGGAAAGACGGCCUUCUGGUUAUAAACCGCUGUCGCCUGUGACGAAGCGUGAGUGACGGUAACGAAUAAAGAAGCACCGGCUAACUACGUG
rnacentral:rRNA from 1 species